rnacentral:lncRNA from 1 species
UAGAGAUUAAAAUUUACCAUAACAAGUUGAAAAGGAGAAAAAACAGACAACAUAUCUCGGUCCAGGAAUUUGAAUAGACUAUAUACAUGCAAGGGUACAUCAGCUUAGACAGACUAUAAGAAUCUGAAAAUGUGUCUGAACCUGUGAAGCUUUUCAACUGUUUUCCUCUGUAAAUCAGUUAUUAUUCCACAUAAGGACACAUAUUCUGAUUCUGAUGGUGUUCUCCUAGAAGCAAGCAAAUUUUAAGAAUGAAUGGUGAUCUAGUAACAUACCAUUUUAUAGCUCCCAUGUUUAGAUUUUCUUCAUAGAGAUCCCCAAAGGAGUGCCAUGCACAGAGAGCAUCAUCUCUCCAGGUUGCCUCCGAGUCUUUGGUGCUGUCAUCCCAAAAGGAAGUCUUUGCCCUCCAUUUACCUGCAAAGUUUACUAGUGUCAUUCUAAAAUCCUUACUUGAAUGCAAAAAAAAAACAACUAUCAUUGAUACAAGCAUUUUUUUUUUGAUAAUCGUGAUGUAAUAUCAAAAGUUUUCUAGGCUCAAGGACUAAUCACCAACGAACCAAACUUAGAACCCUUUCUGCAACAGAUAGUGAACCAUUUCUCUCUGGAUAAAAAAUAAAGAAAGUAAAAACAAAGAAUCGAGGGACAAAAACACUCCAACGAACCAAACUAAGAACCCUACUAAUGAGAUUUCAGUUUUUAACAGAGUAUAAAACAAGAGUACAAUCAUGAAUACAUACCAUAAAAUAUUUAAUUUUUUAAACCAU